UCCGGGGCAUGGCCUCGAGAUCAACCAUGGGUGUCGUGUCUCGUGGAGCGAAGGGACGAUGUGUUGUUAAGAGCUGCGUUCGGCAUGAACUGACAGAGUAUCGCUGAAAGUUUAUUCUACAUUCAUCCUGAUGUUUUGAGUCGCUUGUGGAAUCGAGGGUUUGCGAUAAGUUGUAUUGUACCAAGCUAUCAGAGUUGUGUAAGAGGUGUGCUAAUACAAUUUACAAGUUUUGAGAGUAAGUGAUCCAGCCAGCGACGAGCAGCUCACAGCAGCAGCCCUCUUGGAAGAAGGGUGGAGAGCAGGAAAGUUGAGCAACGACAAGGCGAAGCCCCGAAGUGAGGGCGGGAGAGGUAACACAAUGCCAGUGCAAAACUGGCAGCUGCACGCCAAGGGCGAAAGCAAGGAGAGAGAAAGGAGAGAGCACGGAGCAGUGGAAAGAGCCUGAGCCAGCGCAAGCCCUGAAGUAAGGGCGGGUGUCCGUGUGAAGCUGGCAGCUGCACGAUCAAGGAGAGAGGACGGAGCAGUAGAAAGAGCCUGACCAGCCGCCCGUGAGCAAGAGUAUCAGCGCCAGCGAGAGUGCCGUGGGUUCGACCCACACACACACUGACCAGCACCAGCUGGGAACCAAUGCUAGAGUGAGGAGCGGCGACCAGCAGACAAGCUGCGCGCGCUAUCUGACGACGGAAUCAUCGCGCACCGCCGACGGCGAGCAUCAUGCCAACUCAACCAGCAGUAGAGAGAGCUGCAACGCCAAGAGGAAGAGUGCCGUCGCUUCUGAAAACAAGAGCAGUACAGCAACUCAAGCGGGCGUGGCCUGAUUGAUCAACUAAGCGAGAGAAUUGAAGCAAACGCCAUCAGGCGAGGGCAGGAGGCAAGGCCCUGCUUUGUAAAGUUACACCCGGACAUCGCUUCCAUGCUCGCUGCUACUCAAUUGACAUCCCUACGAGAGAGAGAGCGAGGCUCUACCUCAGUACACAACAACCACCACCACAACCACCACAGCCGCGAUGAGAA